rnacentral:rRNA from 1 species
AUUGAACGCUGGCGGCAGGCCUAACACAUGCAAGUCGAGCGAGCGGCGGACGGGUGAGUAAUGUCUGGGAAACUGCCUGAUGGAGGGGGUUAACUACUGGAAACGGUAGCUAAUACCGCAUACCAUCAGAUGUGCCCAGAUGGGAUUAGUUGGUAGGUGGGGUAAUGGCUCACCUAGGCGACGAUCCCUAGCUGGUCUGAGAGGAUGACCCGCAACACUGGAGCGGGGACCCGGUCCAGACUCCUCGGGGAGGCAGCAGUGGGGAAUAUUGCACAAUGGGGGAAAGCCUGAUGCAGCCAUGCCGCGUGUGUGAAGAAGGCCUUCGGGUUGUAAAGCACUUUCAGCGAGGAGGCGUUACUCACAGAAGAAGCACUGGCUAACUCCGUGCCAGCCGCCGCGGUAAUUC